UUCAAGAUUAUGUCCACAUAGCCAAUCCUUAAGUUAAGGAUUUAGUUGCAACAAAGCUAAUCAUUUCUUAUUUCAGGUUCAAAGUGAUCAUUUUGAUGAGUUUUUCGCCCCUGAGUUGGACAAACAUGGUUAUCAAGCUCUCUACAAGAAGAAGACAACAGAGGUUUACACCGGGACUUAUGCUAUCGAUGGUUGUGCAACAUUUUCCCGAAGGGACAGAUUUUCCCAUGUGAAGAAAUACGAGGUCGAAUUCAACAAGGCUGCUCAGUCACUGACAGAUGUUGUGGUCCCAAUCACUCA